ensembl:lncRNA CCDC26 CCDC26 long non-coding RNA
UGCCAAUGUCCUUUGAUGGCAAAUUCAGUGAAGUCUCAAACAUGUGUGAAAUGGAAAAAACACUUGAAACUAAAGAGCUGAGCCUGAUGGGUUUGUUGGCCUCCCUCAUGUGAAUUCUCAGAGUAUAUUUGAAGGGGGCCUCUGAUCAUUAACGGAAAUUACAAUGGUAGAGGAACCCAAGCCAGGUGAGAUAUACAGAACUUAGGCAAGCCGUGCUCGUGUGUGUAUGCAUGUGUGUCUUCUUGCACCUGUCUACCACAGCCAGAUGGAGCCUUCUGUGAACAGACUUCUUCAGCCACAGAAAAGUACUGGGGAUCUCUCUGGAGUUUGCCCUAGCACUGGUUCCCAUUUUUGAACACUUUUGAAAUAUUAGGGUAUUUUUGUCCUGAAAAACACCUGCUACAAUUGCAUACAUGAGUAGUUUUGGGCCCUUUAUUGAAGGGUGGAUGCAGAAAGUGAAUUUGCUUAAUUCUGGAGCAUAGCAUUCAAUGCCAUUUUUGUUUUCUUUGGCUUUAGGAAGGCCUGAGGAGAGAAGACACAUAGUCAUGCUGACUAAACCAGAUCACCUAGAAUUACCAAAUGGAAAGAUUGUGCCUGCAGCCUGGCCUGUUGCCCACAGCGGUCUACCUGCCACACUGGGAAAGAUCGAGCAGAGACAGAGAAGAAAAGGAGGCUCCAUUUUUCAGGCUGCUCUCCCGCAGGCUCAUGUUUUGUGUUCAUGCCAGGCAGAGAACACAAAAUGUUCCAAUAAAUAAGUAUCAAAGGUUAGUGGUGAAAAUGAAGGAGGAGGAGGCAUUGCGUGAAAAACUAAACAUGCAAAAUAUUACACACAAAGAGAACCAAAAUGCAGGUUCACUGGAAAUGAUAGACAAUAUGUUAAAACAAGAGGAGAGAAGAGAGCUGAAAUAAUCAAAUGGAAACACACAAUUUAGGGCUAAGAUCUUGUUGUGUUCAGCCACAAAUGAUGGCCAGCAGUGAGGAAUCUGUGUGUUCUCCACACUCUUCGCUCCUGGGAAGUCAACUCACAUGGACCAUGAUAUCAAUAUCUGCUCCUUCCCCUAAUAUCUGUUUGACCUUGGGUCAGUUACUUAAACUUCCUAAGCCUUAGUUUCUUUGUCUGGAAAAUAGGGAUAGUUAUACCUACCACACAACCACUUUGUAAUGAAUAUGUUGGAAAUUAUAUGCAAAUUGGCUUCCGUUGGUGUUUGGAACAUAGUAGGUUUUUAACUGGAAUAUAAUAGCUACCAUUAUCAGUAUCAUCAUAUUAAUUUAUAUUUCCAUCUUCAGCCCUUAACCCAGGAUCUUCAGUAAAUGUUGAAUUCUCAAAUUUGUUAAAUUCACUUGUCUAUACUAAUAUUUUACUCUAGGUUUCUUAGAAUAUUCUAGAUAAUAUUAUUAUGUAGAAUAUGUUAUGUAAGCUUCAUCUUAUCUGUAAAUAUAGUUUUACUUUUUCCUUUCUAAUUUUUAUGUCGAUUACUUCUUUUUCUUGGCUUAUUGAAUUGGCUAGGAUUCCCGUACAGUGUUGAAUACGUGCAGCAAGACUGCACAUCUUGCCUUGUUCCUGGUCCCACAGAGAGAAUAUCCAGUACUUCACAAUAAGUAUGUGUUAAUUGUAGAUUUUAUUAGAUUGAGGAAGUUCCCUUUCCUUUCAAGUCAGUCUUUUUAUUUUAAACAUGUAUUGAAGUUUUGUCAAAUGUCUUCAUCUAUUGGAAUAAUUAUACAUAUCUCUUUUUUAUUCUGUUAAUAUUACAUUUCAAUCUUCUGUCUACCUAAAAUCCCUAGAAUAAUCUCCAUUUGGCUAUGAUGUGUUGUGCUUUUAUAUAUUACUGAAUUCUAUAUGCCAAUAUUAUUAAAAUUUUCUGUCUUUAUGAGAAA